rnacentral:rRNA from 1 species
GACGAACGCUGGCGGCGUGCCUAAUACAUGCCAGUAGAACGCUGAAGAGAGGAGCUUGCUCUUCUUGGAUGAGUUGCGAACGGGUGAGUAACGCGUAGGUAACCUGCCUUGUAGCGGGGGAUAACUAUUGGAAACGAUAGCUAAUACCGCAUAACAAUGGAUGACACAUGUCAUUUAUUUGAAAGGGGCAAUUGCUCCACUACAAGAUGGACCUGCGUUGUAUUAGCUAGUAGGUGAGGUAAUGGCUCACCUAGGCGACGAUACAUAGCCGACCUGAGAGGGGGGUUCGCCACACUGGGAAUGGGACAAGGCCCAGACCCCCACGGGAGGGAGCAGGAGGGAAUCUUCGGCAAAUGGGGCAACCCCGACCGGGCAAAGCCGCGUGAGGGAAGGAGGUUUUUGGAACGGAAAGGUCUGUUUGAAGGUAAGAACGGGGGGGAGAGUGGAAAGGUCAAACUGGUAAGGUAGCCUAACAGGAAGGGACGGCUAACUACGUG